GGGUAGUACUAGUUGUAUCCAGGGGUCGCAUAGAGUCGAUUAAAGUCCCGAUGGAAACAACGUGUCGGUGUAACUCAGCAAAGCAGACCUGGAAUGCGGAGAAAGCAUCCGAGAGUUUGCUGAAUUUGGCAAUUGAGUCGUCAUUUAUUGGUGGCUGCAGAAAUUCAGACUGUUUGGUGAUGUUUUGCAGAGCAUUUACUGUUUCUAUGAGUUGCGAUUGAGCUUCUACCGCCGGCAAUGGCCG
rnacentral:misc_RNA from 1 species